UCNGAGAUCCACGUGCAUCUGCCUCCCAA
rnacentral:piRNA from 1 species